ACUCAUACAUACAUAUAUAGAUGUAUAAGUACAUAGCUGUUCUUUGCUUGCACAACUUUUACUGUUAGCAACCGAAAUCAUUUCACUUGGCUACGAACGAGCCAGUUGGUCCGCAGCUGAGCGCUCAGCGCUUGCAUUCAUUAAUAAAGCGGUGACAGUGGGCACCCGGCGCGGUCAAUAUUCGCGAGUGGGUGGGUUCACAGCGGUAGAAGGUUGUUAUGUUGUUAUAAACAAAAAUAACUAUAUAUUGUCGUGCAUUGGAAUGGAAACGGUAUGGGUAGUUGGAGGCUAGCAACCAAAUAAUAAAGGUGGUUAUUGGAAAUCAAACAAAUUUUGUUACUAAAAGUGGUGAAGACAGUAUCAAAAAUAAUUAUCAACGAUAUGUAAAUUCAUCAAAAAAAAUAUCGAAAUUUCGCUGGUUAUAAAUGCUAUAAAGAAUAAUUGUAGGCAACGUCACAGUUACAAUAAAUAAAUUUAAAUUAUAGAAAAUAACAUAAAUAAAAAAUUUAAAUAAAUUAAUUGUAAAAUGGAGAGAAAAUAAAUAAGUAAAUAAUAUGUAAAUAAUGUAUAUCAACUAGCUCAACUAUCACCAGUAAUUUUUA